rnacentral:tRNA from 1 species
UUGGGGUGGGAGGACUCGAACCUACGAAUGGCGGAUUCAAAGCCCGCUGCCUUACCACUUGGCUACACCCCA